rnacentral:rRNA from 1 species
AACGAACGCUGGCGGCAGGCUUAACACAUGCAAGUCGAACGCCCCGCAAGGGGAGUGGCAGACGGGUGAGUAACGCGUGGGAAUCUACCGUGCCCUACGGAAUAACGCAUGGAAACGUGUGCUAAUACCGUAUGUGCCCUUCGGGGGAAAGAUUUAUCGCCAUUGGAUGAACCCGCGUCAGAUUAGCUAGUUGGUGGGGU